rnacentral:tRNA from 1 species
GGCUCUGUGGCGCAAUGGACAGCGCGUUGGACUUCUAGCCAGACACUUGGGAUCAAAGUCAUUCAAAGGUUGUGGGUUCGAGUCCCACCAGAGUCG